ACCUUUCAGGUUGCAGCCUGGGUUUAAGUAGUUCCAGGCUGAUGGCUGGUGACUUUUUGGUCACCAGCCU
rnacentral:sRNA from 1 species